UCCUGGGUGGUGCAAACAGUUAACACACUUGGCUACUAACCAAAGGGUGGAGGUUCAAGUCCACCCAGAGGUG
rnacentral:tRNA from 1 species